rnacentral:rRNA from 1 species
AGGGCACCACCAGGAGUGGAGCCUGCGGCUUAAUUUGACUCAACACGGGAAAACUCACCCGGCCCGGACACUGGAAGGAUUGACAGAUUGAGAGCUCUUUCUUGAUUCAGUGGGUGGUGGUGCAUGGCCGUUCUUAGUUGGUGGAGUGAUUUGUCUGGUUAAUUCCGAUAACGAACGAGACUCUAGCCUACUAAAUAGUCGCGGGCGUUCUCGUACCGCCCGUCGGCUUCUUAGAGGGACAGGCGGCGUCUUAGCCGCAUGAGAAAGAGCAAUAACAGGUCUGUGAUGCCCUUAGAUGUCCGGGGCUGCACGCGCGCUACACUGAAGUAAUCAUCGCGCAUGCACCCGCCUACCCCGAAAGGGGCGGGAAACCGAGUGAACCUUUUUCGUGUCUGGGAUUGGGAUUUGUUAUUUUCUUCCCUGAACAAGAAAUUCCCAGUAGAGCACUGCUCAUGGCUCUUGUGGUUGAUUAUGUCUCCGCUCUGUGUACACCACACCCCUCACUACUCCCGAUUGGAU